GGCGGAAUUGGUAGACGCGCUAGCUUCAGGUGUUAGUGUCCUUAGGAUGUGGGGGUUCGAGUCCCCCC
rnacentral:tRNA from 3 species